GAAAGGCCAUUCAGUGUGUGUGGAGCCAACUGUUAAUACAAAACACUUUUAAGCAGCCCAGUGAGACAGGCCUGCAAUUGUCUCUCUUCCCUCUCUUACCUUCUGCUCCGACUCCGUGGUAGGUCCCUAUGCUGUGCUCACGAAGGACACCAUGCCACAGACAUACAAGAGGAAGCGUUCUUGGUCGCGUGCAGUCUUUUCCAACCUGCAGAGGAAAGGCCUGGAGAAAAGGUUUGAGAUCCAGAAGUAUGUGACCAAGCCAGACCGAAAGCAGCUGGCAGCAAUGUUGGGCCUCACAGAUGCACAGGUAAGUCAGCCAGGGAUCCAGCACAUAGUGCCCUACCGGGUGGGCGGGCAGCAGCGGGUGUCCUAACUCCUCAGUCCCCCUCAGUCCCCACCGACUCACCUUUUGAAAUCAAAACACAGUGUCUUGAAUUAAAGGAGGUUUUGUGAACUUUAAAAUUGAGGCAGGAGGAGAGGAGGGUGGGGUAGGGGUGAGGGAGAACUAGGAGGAGAAUUGUUCAUCCCCGAAGAUGUCAACAAGCAGUAUGUGUUUAUUUUGGCCAACAGGCAAAAGAACCACUGAGAAAGCAAAUAGACUGCGGGAGAUGAUAAUUAUGUACUCAACUGGAGUGCAGUUCGCUAUAGGAGGCAGUUUAUUUCAGAAGAGAUAAAAGCCCAAAGUCAAGAGAUUGUUGUUGUUGUUGUUGUUAAUUUAAUUUUAUUUUUCUUCUGCCCUUCCUCCUCCUCUGCUGCUACUGGAUUGUGAAAUCCCUAGUUAUGAGGAAGUGAAAAUAUCAUUUCAAACGGAAUUACUUAGCUCCACUAGGGUCCGCUUAGAGCGGCCACAGGUCCAAGUUCUAACGGCUUUGGCUCUGUAGGAUGUCUCUGUGGUGGGGGCUGGGGUGUCUAGAAAGAAAGGUUUUCUUAAAAUGCCCAAGAGAAUUUCAGCAGGUUCUACCUACUUGAAUUUUUUUCCCCCAAGACAAUAAGAAACCUAUUGUACCUGAAUUAGUUUUCUUUUUCUUUGAUUCAAGAACUGUCCUUUCCUUUCCUUUCCUUUCCUUUCCUUUCCUUUCCUUUCCUUUCUUCUCUUCUUCUUUUAGCUUUGACUUCAGAAGAGACACCUCGUUCCACCUAUCUCAGCAGUAGCUUCUGUCACCAGCAGGGCAGAAGCCAAAGUUAGCCUUCUUUUUCUUAGAUCCCUGAUGGUCCCCUGACUUAUCUCUGUAUCUUUCUGUUCUCCAUUACACAACUCGGCUCCCCAGUGUGCGUGGCUUGUGCAUGCAUUCCCCCCACCCCUUACACACACACUGGAGGAGCCCAGCCAUUUUUCCACCAGCUGUGGAUGUUAUUUUUAAAAGGGAAGCUGGAACUUGUGUGGACGGGUUGGGUCCCCCAGGGAAUCAUAUAUUUAUAUAGAUUCUCUGCUCCAUCUUUUACCCUCUUCUUCCAUUUUGCUCACGUUAAUUCCAGCAUUUUCUGAUCUCCAAGAAAGAUUAGUUUAUCCCUGUCAGAGGCAGGGUUCUUAUCAACUCUGGAGUAAAAAUAUGCCAAAAAAAAAAAAAUCUCUUUUAUUCAAAGCCUGGCAAUACCCCUACUCGGCUAGGAUUAACUCUUUGCACCUCUUUUCUCACUUGCAUCCCACUUUUAUUCUUUAAAAUAAUAGCUUUUGCAGUGGCUUGCUUUGGAUCAUGAUAGUACAGGAUAGGACCUUGUGGAGAGAAAAAUUUUAACAUUGUCUCACCAAAAACUUGAGAUUCUGUGUAUCAUCAUGGGAACAUACCCCUUUUUCUGGGUCAGCAGUCCACAACUUUAAUCAGGUUCUUACAGGAGUCCUGACUCAAGUGAGGUCAAGAAACAGGGAUUUAGAGUAGAGAGCUUUAGUAGGUUUAGGGCCAGUUGCAGGAAUCUGCCUUUUCAACAAACUAUCUAGGUCAUUUCAAAUCUGAGGUCUGGGGGCCACAUUUUGAGAAUGGACCUAGUGGGUUCAGUGGUCCAGGAUCCCUAGGCUCAUUUUAGCCCUUAGCUGCCUCUGGGUCCCUUGUGCUUAUAUGGGAUUUUGGUAACUGCACCUAGUAAGGUGACUGGCAGGUGCAAGAGAGUCAGCCUGUUAUUCAUCUUGACUCCCUGUCCCGCUCAGGUGAAGGUGUGGUUCCAGAACCGGCGAAUGAAGUGGCGCCACUCCAAGGAGGCCCAAGCACAGAAGGAUAAGGACAAGGAGGCCGGCGAGAAGCCUCCAGGCGGAGCCCCGGUUGCCGAGGGCGAACAGGAGGAGAGGAGCCCCAGUCGCUCAGAGGGCGAGGCCGAGAGCGAGAGCAGCGACUCCGAGUCUCUGGACAUGGUCCCCAGCGACACCGAGCGGACUGAGGGGGCUGAGCGAUCUCUUCACCAAACAACUGUUAUCAAGGCCUCGGCCGCCGGCACCCUCAUCGCGGCCAGCAGCGGUGGGAGUGGAGGAGGUAGCGGCGGCAGCAGUUUCAGCUUCGGCAGCGCUAGCAGCCUCAGUAGCACCAGCACCAGCACGGGGAGCGCAAGCAGUCUUGGCAGCGGGGGCAGUAGCACCUCGGAGCUGCUCCCUGCACCCCAACCCACAGUUAGCAGUGCUCCCAAAAGCCCGGAGCCUCCCCAGGUCCCGCUGGGCAGCUUAUAGACUUCAGGAGGACUCAGGGGACUCUACGCGCAGCCUCCCACAUACGGGCUGGAUUUUGUGUUGGCGUUGGGCUGGGGCCAGAGAUGCAGCAAAGACUACUCUUCAGUGUUCACUCCAUGCCCCUUGGUGCCCAGAGCUCAGAGCCCAGAGGCCAUAAGUGUGUCCCCACCAAAGAUUCCUAUGGAACUCUUCUCUGGACAUGUGCAGCCCACACUGUGAAGUGUUUGAACUGUUCCUGCUCUCCAGGGAUCGUGGCAUAAAGACAUGCUGCACUUAAGAAGCCUUAAACUUGUAAAUAAAAUGUUUACCAUGGUUUGUAAAAGGCCCUUGGCUUGCUGGGGUGAUCUCCAAGGAUCUUUAACCCAAAUGUUAGGCCUGAACCAGGAUCUUAGGUGGGGGGAUGGGGCUUUUGGGGAAAAGAGGUUCAACCUGAGAGACAUCUUGUUGCAGAGAUCUGUCUCCGGAGUCAGAGGAUUCACCUAAUUCAGUGGGUAGGUAGCUGGUGCCAACCACCAGCUAACAUGGGUUUGGUCACCCUUUGCAUGGCCUGAGAGAAGAAUAAAGAGCAGGCCCUAGAAUCUGUUAGGCCUGUUCAGCAGAUGGUCUCCUCAUUCAGAGGCUGGUUGCAAUGAGUGUGUAUCCCUUGCUUUCCCUGUUCCACAGUGUGCAGGAGAAGUGGAGAAGGCUAUGCUCCUGGCUAUGCUUCUGUCAAUUUAAGGCAUGGCAGUACUCUUUAGGUGGCCACUCAGGGCCCUGGCAGGAAUGUCGACUCUCCCAGUGCAAACUGCUCUUUGCUCAGGGAUGGGGUAGAGGACACAGGGCAGGUCUGUAGUGUCUAUUGGAGGAAAGGACAGGAAUGCCACAGUAGUUAGGGCUGUAAGCCUGUGUCUGUGCUGGGUCCUGGUUUUAAAGAUGCUAAAAUAAUUUACAGACAAAGAAGUGCCUUGUUAAAGGUUAUGCAGAGCCCAAAUCAGAAUUUAGACUUCUUGGCUCACAUUUUGUUGGUAAUGAAUCUAUAAAAUUGAACCCUAUCACGCUUUGUACUAUAUUGCACAAAAUCUUCCUUCUUAUUCCUCUGGGGCAGGCACCCAAUUGAGUUCUUUCUCUGCCUCAUUUCUGCCCCAGCCUCCCUAGAGUUGAGACAGUUUCCCCACUCCACUGCAGCUACAAAAUAGUAAACCUAAAUCUAUUUCACCUUGCUGCUGCUGGUAGGUACCUGUUUUUUUUUGUUUUGCCAAAGAAGGGGGGUCAAACCUUUUCCAAGACCUGUUCUCUUCUACUUUCCUUCCCUGGAAAUUUAUGAAAUGUUUAGAGAUGAGCAAAAACAAUCCUUUGAAAAAAUUUGAAACAAAGAGAUGGCCCUAAAAAUUUUUUGGCACUGAAAGUUGAGGGAGAUAACAAGGUCUCUCACAAAUCCAGCAUCCUAUCACAGGAACUGUAUGUACAGUACUUAGCAAGGGGGAGAGGUGCUGAGAUCAGAGAGCCUAAAAUGUGCUCCAGUCUCCAGGCCAAGUGAGAAGGUUCCCAGAAGCUCCAGGGGUCUUGCUUAUCUUCUGCCCCAUCUUGACUCAUUCCCUGGAGCUCAUUCCAGGACCUUUGUACUAGACCUAUUGCCCACCCGGGUACAGAGAGCUGUGCCACAGAUACAGCCUUCUCUCCCUAGGCUAAGCCAGAUGCCUAAACUAAUCUCAGAGCAGUAAGCACAGGGAUGCAGGGCUGACAAUUCUCUGUUCCAAUCAACCUCCCAAGCCCCCAAAUGGAGCUGAAUUCCUAGAGGAAAGAGCCAAGUGUAAAGGGGGUUAGGAACAACCAGGGUUGUCAAGAAUAGGGAAGAGUAAAUUUACCCGACCUUGGACUAGCUAUUCUAAUUGUUCCACAAGAGUUUUUGGGCCAGCAGCAGCCUCCCAAUCCUCAUGGGCUUCAAGCACCCGGGGAGUAGAGGCUCUGGUACCUUAGCUAUGGUAUUCUCUCUUUACCUCAGUUUUGCCUUCAUUAUAGAGAAAUGAAUCUCUGACUCCCCAAAUGUUGAAAUUUUGGAACCGAACAAAUCAAAGACCAUUGAAUUUUGAGGCAUUUAAACCCAGUUUUGACGUUAAGGAGAUGUGCAUGGGGGCGCAUUUGUGUAUAUUAACUGGGGAGCAGAGCCCGGCUGGGGAGGAGAGACUGGGAGGGGUUAGGGCUUUAUUGCAAACUGUACCCACCUCCACUGCUCGAAGUGCUCUUCAAGAGCUCUCUGCCCUCAAAAUCCCUGCCGCAUUUCUUUUUCAUUCAGGGUUUAGAAAUUGAAGAAACUAAUUACUCGGGGGAGGGUAAUGGUGUGAUUUCAAGUAGAAUUUCGGCCCUACCUCCGCAAGGCUCCACCACACCAAAGGGCGCGGGGAAACUGGGAUGGAGAGUAAGCCUGACGGCAGCGGGAGUUGGAAGGUCUGGAAGUUCCUUUAGUGCUUCCAGGAGGCACCCCCCUGCCUCUGUCAACCCUACCCCUGGUCCCUGAAUAUUUAUCUUGUGAAACUCUUGAAGGGCUUUUCCCGGGUAGAGGAGCUUUUCACAUUUUCAUCAGAAACGGAACAUCACAACCUCUGGUGAAGUUUAAAAGUUUAUUUGGAGGAAGAGCAGCUGCAGGGCUUAGAAUCCUUUCUGGGAAGAAAGGCGGCUUUUGGGGAGGAUUGUUCCCCCCCCCCCCCCCCCCGGGGGCUGCUCUUUAGGGCAUCGACUAUUGGAAUCUUUCUGGCAGCGCUCGAUCCUGCCUAAGCAAGUAGAACUGAGGGUUCUGGGACACGAAAGAGAAGGCUGAGCCUGGUAAAUCUGCAGACGCCAGACUUCUGGGCUAGAGCCCGGAGGAGGCGGGUGCGCAUCGGAGAGCCGAGCAGAGCUGAGGCCCGUGUCUUUCACAUGCCCCACAGGACUGGAGCUUUUCUCCAAGCAGUAAUAACUCCUUUCUCCGAGCAGGGCUCUUGCUCGCGCAGCCCUAGAAGUUCCCGCAGCCCUAGAAGUUCCCGCAGCAUCAAGCUCUCUGAGCAUUUUCCCUAGGUGCGCGAAGCACAUGGAGGCAAAACCAAAAAAACUGAACCGACCAGCGCUGGGAGUGGGGAUGGGUGAGAAUCCAAUACUCAGUCCCCUUUCCCCGCAGCACUUAAACGCAGAAAUGCACACAACAGAAACAGACACGAAGAUUCAUACAGGAACAAGAGACUGGUACUCCGUUGUGGGUGAUACCAUACACAUUUCCGCGUUCUUCUCCAUAUGGCAAAGCAACGUGAUGAGCCUCAUGCCUGCGUUGGUGGAUGGGAUGCUAGUCUCAGUAGAAAAGUUUCCUAGCCCAAGUUCCGCAGACCAAACCAUCAAAACCCAGGAUGCAUAGCCUUACAUUUGCUGGCCUCAUUGGAGAGAGGGAAGGGACUGAGAUGCCAGUAGUUUGUCACUCUCGCUGGACAGUCCCUACCAAGUCCAAAGCACAAGGUCCAGAGAGACAUCAAAACCUUUAUGGGGGGACUCCUAUUGAUAUAUCAGCCAAGGAAAAGAUUCCUUGUCCUCCCCACUACUCUACCCUCUUCAAGUUCUGAAAUCUUUUGUGUGUGUAUUGCUCAGACUCUGAUUGUCACAAAUCUGUCUGAUCCCUUUGAAACUCAGAAAAGACCACAAAGUCCAGGACCUAUGAGAUUUUUUUUCUCUGACUGCUCUCCCUACCCAGGGUCUGGGUCUGGAGUGGAAUGUUGGUGAGGCUUGACUGUGCCCUGCCUAAAGCAGGCUACACAAGACAGAAUAAGAUUGUCCAUCUCUUCCAAGCCUUUUCUUUGGGGUCCCAGAGGUCAAAGUAACCUGAGAGUGAACCCAGCUUCUUCUGCACAGACUCACAGCCACUUUCAGGAGCUUAGGGGUCUUAAGGAGGGUUGGGCAGGAACUAGACCUGCAGCAGUGGAUUUUCUGAGGGUGUUUUAGACUUGAAGUUUAAUCUGUGGAGCUUUAACCUAUUCUGGGAUGUAAUCAUAACUCACCCCAUGCUGAAGCCAAUUUCAGAUUCCAGAUUGGUGAGAUAGGCUUGGGGCUGUUUUGGAGUUAUUAACUGUGGAAAAGAGGGCAGAGGCUGAAGAAGUUUUCUCACUCUCCUUUGGUUUUUGUAUGUUGAGUCGCCCCUCCAGUUGUGUGUGUGUGUGUGUGUGUGUGUGUGUUUUAAGUAAUAGGGGCAGGGUAACUACGAGCUUGGUUCUCCCCAUUAAAUUUAAUGGCAUAGCAUUGAAGAUAUCCAAGAAGAUGCUUAAUGCCAUAGGGAUACCACAUUUCCCUUUAUUUAGCCUCUGGGGAGUGGGGACACUGCACACUCUAAGGUCUGUGUGAAGAUGCAAGUAUUGGGUUUAAAGGAGGAUUUUAACUAUAUAUAUUGGGGAGAGGAAUAAAAACCUCGAUAUAACACUUCUUAUUUCCAGCUUCCACUUACGAUGUUGUGAUGGGAUUGGGCAGCAACUCCAAGACUAAUGGAAGUCUUAAAGGUAAUCUCCUUACCCAUGUAGACAUUAAAGCUGUGAUGCAGCUGCUCUUGGGGAAUCCUGAUAAUUUACACAAGACAGAAAACACUUUCUAAGAUAUCUCCAAGAUGGUUUCCAACAGAGCAGCAACACUUGCUGGGAUCUCUGUCUCACAUAGACAGGCUGGUUUGGAGAACUGCUGGCCCUUGGGUCCCUUUGCUGUCCCAUAUGCUGUGUCAUUUUAGAAACCAAGGAUGUAUGUCUCCAGAGCUGCUCCACAGAUUUACUUCAGACUCCCUCAUCUUAAGGAUGUGACCAAGGUCCCCAGAAGAAUGAGUAAGAGGAGUAAGAUGAGCCUUGGGGUCAAUGCCUAUUGAGGUCCACAAGAACGUGAAGGCUCCUCCAGGAUUCCAGUCCGGAUUUUUAAAGCUUAAUUGUUUUUUUUUUUUUUUUUAAAUAGCUAGGAGGUUCUGCUGCGCGACUUUGGGCUCCUGUUAGCUCCUCCCCUCCCCCUCUGUGGUCCCUUUGGGAGUCGCUGAUCAGGCUUGGUUUUUCUCUAGUUGACACCCCGCCCUCCAACUUGCGCGGUCUCAGGAGCAGGUAAAACUUUGUUAACAGUGAUUAGGGCGCCAGUCACACCUUGCUCUGGGACCCUGCGCUAUCCCAGGCGCUUUUCAGCUUUUGUUGAUGGACGCUGACUCUUGGGAUUCUGGGCAGGAAGCAGAGCUCUUGGAGGCCCUUGUAGUGCCUGCAGAGCAUGGGGGCGUUGCUUCCUUCUUUCUCUCCUGAGCUUCGGACUUGCCCUGGAGGCUGGGGAUACCAAACCUCCCACUCUCCAGCAAUCCACUGCACCCUGAAGACAAGGAACCAGAGAGCGAGAGCCAGGCUUCAGGGGCUGCCGCAGCCACACCUCUCAGAGUUCCUGGAUCUGAUGACUUGCAGUGACUCUGGGUUGGGGAAGAUAUAGCCAAGAGGCCAGCGGGUGAAGCUGGGAACAGAGUGCACUGGAAGAAGUAUAUCUAAUCCCAACACAGGAUAAGGGGAACCAAACUAGCUCCAGAGCAUCAUUCAUUCAUUCAACAGCCAGUAACCGUCCGUGUGACCUUGGGAAAUUCAUCCUAACCAUUUGGAUUCACUUUCCUCACUGUAAGGUUAUAAUUAAAGGUGUGUAACUCAUAAAUUGCUGAGGAUCAAUUACAUUUUCUAAAAAGUGAUAAAAGAGCAGUGCUAGUAUACAGUUAGCGGUAUAGGCUUAUUUAUAUUCCUUCAUGCAUUCGUUUGGAAGACCCUCCCUCAUGGCUAUUCACUGCAGUAUUUAUUGAGCUCUUAGUUAGUGUCCACACAGCAAGGUAAAAGAAAUAAUAAUAAUAAUAAUAUAAAGAAUGUGUGACUAUCCUAACUCUCCAAGAUAUUAAAUUAUUAGGUGGAGACCCGUGAAUGGGUCUCCUGCCCUGUGUCUCUGGGAAACCAUUUAAAUACUGGUGCAAGAUGUUUGGACGCUGACAGGGGUUGUAUGGUAUUCCCAAUGAUUACAUUAGAUGCUCAUUGGCUCAGCCUUCAAAGGAUACACAGCAGGUUUUCAAUACAACCUUUGUGUAGGUGUGUUUGGGAGUUACCCUUGAGAUUUAGAAGGGGUAAGAAGCUAGGAUUUCCUGACACUUAGGUUUGAAGGAAGCUUAAGCAAGUGUUUGGGGUCCCAGGAGAGAAAAUUUGCUCAGGCUGUUGAAAGUAUGUCAGGACAAAUGGCACUUCGGGAGGGAGUUUUAAAUUCUCAACUAAUAGCCAUGAGGGAGGGUCUUCAAAACGGAAACAGGAAAUUAAUAAUCCCUUUGAAGGACACAGGCACUCUCAGUUACUUAAGGGAAGGACCAGUCUCCGUNGUACUCUUUAGGUGGCCACUCAGGGCCCUGGCAGGAAUGUCGACUCUCCCAGUGCAAACUGCUCUUUGCUCAGGGAUGGGGUAGAGGACACAGGGCAGGUCUGUAGUGUCUAUUGGAG
rnacentral:lncRNA from 1 species